rnacentral:rRNA from 1 species
UGGGGAAUAUUGGACAAUGGGCGCAAGCCUGAUCCAGCAAUGCCGCGUGUGUGAAGAAGGCCUUCGGGUUGUAAAGCACUUUUAUCAGGAGCGAAAUACUAUCGGCUAAUACCCGGUGGGGCUGACGGUACCUGAGGAAUAAGCACCGGCUAACUUCGUGCCAGCAGCCGCGGUAAUACGAAGGGUGCAAGCGUUAAUCGGAAUUACUGGGCGUAAAGCGUGCGUAGGCGGUUUUUUAAGUCUGCUGUGAAAUCCCCGGGCUCAACCUGGGAAUGGCAGUGGAUACUGGAAAGCUAGAGUGUGAGAGAGGAUGGUGGAAUUCCCGGUGUAGCGGUGAAAUGCGUAGAGAUCGGGAGGAACAUCAGUGGCGAAGGCGGCCAUCUGGCUCAACACUGACGCUGAGGCACGAAAGCGUGGGGAGCAAACAGGAUUAGAUACCCCCGUAGUCC